rnacentral:lncRNA from 1 species
GCCUGAGACACUGAACCAAACAUUUGGUUCAUUUCAUCGACGACGUAAAGCGGCACACGUAACUAGGACAAAAAAGAAGCUGUGCGCGUGUGCAGAAUUUAAACGAAGAGCAGAAACUCUGAAGAAACGGAAGCUGGAGACUUUGCGGAAAUGUUCGAACAUGAUUUUGUCAGCCAAAGAUAGUCUACAGUUGGAAUUCUGGAGACUCUUGAGGAAGUAUAGAAAUGCCAGCGCCCCAAGAGGCACUGGUGACUGCUGCUCCCCUGCUGCCUGCUGCUUUUUGAGAAUUGCUGUUUGAGGAUUGCUCAAUUGCUGGCUGGUUGCUGGGUUGCUGGUGGCUGGUUGGAGAUAUCCUGAGAACGAAGAUUGGACCUGCCCCCAAGGAACUGGAUGCCCCUAAUAAGCAGGAAGUAUCCUAACAAGAUUAAUAUCCCCUUCCCCCUCUAACCUUUUUCUCCUACCUAGUGUUGAGGGGUUGGAAGGGAUGGGGGUGAAGGUAGUCAUGCGGUAGAAGAAAAACAACCCAAUAAGGUAGCUAAAAGUUCAGUUACAGAUAAGAAUUUCAAGUCACCCCCUACUUCAUAUUUAGUUCAAGGACAACCUGGGCUGCAUGGGAGCCCCUGUGUCAAACAAACAAACAAAUAAACAGCACUAUUUUUUGUUGUUGUUUUAACUAAGUAAUCAGGAUUUCUUUCCUUUUUUAUUUUAGUUUUUGUUUUGUUUUGUUUUG